rnacentral:rRNA from 1 species
GACGAACGCUGGCGGCGUGCUUAACACAUGCAAGUCGAACGGUAAGGCCCUUCGGGGUACACGAGUGGCGAACGGGUGAGUAACACGUGGGUGAUCUGCCCUGCACUUCGGGAUAAGCCUGGGAAACUGGGUCUAAUACCGGAUAGGACCAUUGCCUGCCUGUGUGGUGGUGGAAAGCUUUUGCGGUGUGGGAUGGGCCCGGGGCCUGUCAGCUUGUUGGUGGGGUGAUGGCCGACCAAGGCGACGACGGGUAGCCGGCCUGAGAGGGUGGCCGGCCACACUGGGACUGAGAUACGGCCCAGACUCCUACGGGAGGCAGCAGUGGGGAAUAUUGCACAAUGGGCGCAAGCCUGAUGCAGCGACGCCGCGUGAGGGAUGACGGCCUUCGGGUUGUAAACCUCUUUCAGCACCGACGAAGCGCAAGUGACGGUAGGUGCAGAAGAAGGACCGGCCAACUACGUGCCAGCAGCCGCCGUAA